rnacentral:rRNA from 1 species
ACGUGAUCUGAGUUCAGACCGGAGUAAUCCAGGUCAGUUUCUAUCUAUAAGAAGUCUUCUCUAGUACGAAAGGACCGAAAGGACAUAGCCAAUGCUUCAGUAAGCUAUUUUCACCAACUUAUGAAUCAAACUCAAUAAAUAACUAAUUCAAAACAUAACCUCAGAAUAAGGCA